rnacentral:rRNA from 1 species
CCUACGGGAGGCAGCAGUGGGGGAUAUUGCUCAAUGGGCGAAACCCUGAUGCAGCAACGCCGCUUGUGGUCUUCCUUUUUUCUUCUUUUCCCCCUCUUUUCUUUUUUCCUCUCCUUCCUUUAACCACGGAGAAAGCUCUGGCUAACUACGUGCCAGCAGCCGCGGUAAUACGUAGGGGGCAAGCGUUGUCCGGAUUUACUGGGGGUAAAGGGUGCGUAGGCGGUCUUGCAAGUCAGACGUGAAAACCACAGGCUCAACCUGGGGACUGCGUUUGACACUGUGGGGCUUGAGUGAAGUAGAGGUAGGCGGAAUUCCCGGUGUAGAGGUGAAAUGCGUAGAGAUCGGGAGGAACACCAGUGGCGAAGGCGGCCUACUGGGCUUUAACUGACGCUGAGGCACGAAAGCGUGGGUAGCAAACAGGAUGAGAGAAAAGAGGAGGC